rnacentral:rRNA from 1 species
GGGUUGUGAGGUUAAGCGACUAAGCGUACACGGUGGAUGCCCUGGCAGUCAGAGGCGAUGAAGGACGUGCUAAUCUGCGAUAAGCGUCGGUAAGGUGAUAUGAACCGUUAUAACCGGCGAUUUCCGAAUGGGGAAACCCAGUGUGAUUCGUCACACUAUCAUUACGUGAAU